AAGAAGGGUUGCGAAUCAAAGGGGGAUGCCUUGGCGGUCAGAGGCGAUGAAGGACGUGGCAGCCUGCGAAAAGUAUCGGGGAGCUGGCAACAAGCUUUGAUCCGGUAAUGUCCGAAUGGGGAAACCCACCCGCUUGCGGGUAUCCUGCAGUGAAUACAUAGCUGCUGGAAGCGAACCUGGUGAACUGAAAUAUCUAAGUAACCAGAGGAAAAGAAAUCAACCGAGAUUCCGUAAGUAGCGACGAGCGAACGCGGACUAGCCCUUAAGCUGGAUUGGUUCUAGGAAAACGCUCUGGAAAGAGCGGCCAUAGAAGGUGAUAGCCCUGUAUCUGAAAGGGCCAUUCCAGUGAAGACGAGUAGGGCGGGGCACGUGAAACCCUGUCUGAACAUGGGGGGACCAUCCUCCAAGGCUAAAUACUCGUAAUCGACCGAUAGUGAACAAGUACCGUGAGGGAAAGGCGAAAAGAACCCCGGGAGGGGAGUGAAAUAGAUCCUGAAACCGCAUGCAUACAAAAAGUAGGAGCCCGAAAGGGUGACUGCGUACCUUUUGUAUAAUGGGUCAGCGACUUACAUUCAGUGGCAAGGUUAACCGAAUAGGGAAGCCGUAGAGAAAUCGAGUCCGAAUAGGGCGUUCAGUCGCUGGGUGUAGACCCGAAACCAAGUGAUCUAUCCAUGGCCAGGAUGAAGGUACCGUAACAGGUGCUGGAGGUCCGAACCGACUAGUGUUGCAAAACUAGCGGAUGAGCUGUGGAUAGGGGUGAAAGGCUAAACAAACUUGGAAAUAGCUGGUUCUCUCCGAAAACUAUUUAGGUAGUGCCUCAAGUAUUACCAUCGGGGGUAGAGCACUGUUUAGGCUAGGGGGUCAUGGCGACUUACCAAACCUUGGCAAACUCCGAAUACCGAUGAGUACAGCUUGGGAGACAGAGCACCGGGUGCUAACGUCCGGACUCAAGAGGGAAACAACCCAGACCGCCAGCUAAGGUCCCUAAAAUUGGCUAAGUGGGAAACGAAGUGGGAAGGCUAAAACAGUCAGGAUGUUGGCUUAGAAGCAGCCAUCAUUUAAAGAAAGCGUAAUAGCUCACUGAUCGAGUCGUCCUGCGCGGAAGAUGUAACGGGGCUAAGCCAGUUACCGAAGCUGCGGAUUUGCACGCAAGUGCAAGUGGUAGGAGAGCGUUCUGUAAGCCUGUGAAGGUGGGUUGUGAAGCCUGCUGGAGGUAUCAGAAGUGCGAAUGCUGGCAUGAGUAACGACAAACACUGUGAAAGACAGUGUCGCCGAAAGUCCAAGGGUUCCUGCGUAAAGUUAAUCUGCGCAGGGUUAGCCGGCCCCUAAGGCGAGGGCGAAAGCCGUAGUCGAUGGGAACCACGUUAAUAUUCGUGGGCCAGUGGGUGUGUGACGGAUGCAGCAAGUUGUUGAGGCUUAUCGGAUUGCCGAGGCAGCGAAUGUGUCCCUGGAAAUAGCCCCCACGUAGACCGUACCCGAAACCGACACAGGUGGACUGGUAGAGAAUACCAAGGCGUUUGGGCGAACUAUGUUGAAGGAACUCGGCAAUUUACCUCCGUAACUUCGGGAUAAGGAGGACCUCUCAUCAGGCAACUUUUGAGGGGUGGCACAGACCAGGGGGUGGCGACUGUUUAACAAAAACACAGGGCUCUGCGAAAUCGCAAGAUGACGUAUAGGGUCUGACGCCUGCCCGGUGCCGGAAGGUUAAGAGGAGAGGUGCAAGCCUUGAAUCGAAGCCCCGGUAAACGGCGGCCGUAACAAUAACGGUCCUAAGGUAGCGAAAUUCCUUGUCGGGUAAGUUCCGACCUGCACGAAUGGCG
rnacentral:rRNA from 1 species